AAGCGUUUCCUAACACAGGCUCCUGUUAAUCCGAAGCUACCACUCUCAAACUCGAAAAAUGGCAACAACAGAAACCUUAUCACAAGGUUCUACUUCUAGUCUCAUUUUCAAACCAACUACCAAGCUCCUCCACCCCUCAACACUCUCAACACGCUUCAAAGCUCUCAUUCCCUCUCCAAUCCUUCUACCUCCGUCACCUCUCCCUUCCUUACAAAAUCCCCACAAAUACAAUCAUCAUCUGUCAUGGAAAGGUGAAGCCUGUCUCAGUUCACCGUUUAUCAAUUAUUAUAUAACAUGUCCUCAAUUAAUAUUGUUUUCUUAAGUUGGUAGUGAAGUGCCCGAGGAGUUCAAUGAAGUUUUCUUUGAUGAUAAUCAUGACAUGAUGGACGGGGAGGAGGAGAUGAGUGAUGAGGAUGAGACAGAGAGCAGUAUUGAUUUGCUCAUCAAGUUUUUGUAAAGCAUGUUCAAGAAGCUAUCUAAGAGAGCCAAGAAAGCUUCUCGCUCUAUGUUAACUGCUGCUGUAAUAUCACCCGAAUUGGUGUCUUUUGCCGUCGAUGGGAUGCUGCUACUGGAUGCACUUUCUAUUGUUAAAGCACUUCUUGAGGUAUCCCUUUACCAUUGCCAAUCUUGAGUGGCUUAGAUGCCUUCAGUGUUACAAAUGCACCAGGACCAGGAGCAUGCAUGGUAUGUGCAGGUAGGUAAGGAGUCAUCUUAAGAUUACCACUCCUACUUGUAUCUUUUUUUUUUCUUUUUUUUUUGAGAAGGUGUUCCUCAAUCUGUUUGGGAAUGAAAAGAUCUCCUAUUUAACAACACUUUCUGUUAGGACCAAUAUAUAAGAUAAUAUAAGGAAAAUCAAAUAUCAUAUUUCCCAUGUUUCUGUGUGAGAAACGUGUCUCUCGAGGAACCUAUCAACAGACAAGUGAACCUAAAGUAUUGUACUAGGUGGUGUGGUUUCUGUGGUCGAUAUUAUCUCGGAGAAAUGAGCUGAUAACUUAGUGAUGGUAACUGUUUAUUACAGGUGGUUUGCACUUGCUAGUUUAUUAUUACAUAGCUCUACCUGGCUUCGAUAUUUACCUUGCUUGUGAGGUGAGCUUAUACCAAGGCUAUUGCCUGGUUAUUUGUAAACAAUAUUGUUGGUUGAAUCUUACUGAUAGGGGCUGCAUAUGGGCUUGAGGUUGAA